rnacentral:lncRNA from 1 species
AGAUUUUUUUUAUUUAUUUUAGAAAUUGAGUUUUUUUUUAGGAAAAACUUCAAAUACCCCAUGUAGUUUCACAUUUUUUCAUUUUAAUAUUCUGUGAUUUAAAGUGUAUUAAGUUAGUACCCCGUAGUUUCGCACUUUCUCACUUUAGUACCUUGUGGUUUAAAGUGUAUCAAAUUAGUACUCUGUGGUUUCAUUUCUGUAUCAAGUUAGUACCAUGUGGUUUCAUUUUCUCUUUUUAUUAUCUAUUUCGGAGUAUUUUUUCGUUAAAUCAGUGACAAAGUUAAAACUAAAGGGUACUUAAAUGAAUAUUCGAUAAAACUAGGUGGGUAUCUGAAGUUUUUUGUAUAUAAUUUAACAAAAUAUUAAACCACAGGGUACUAAAUUGAGAAAGUGCGAAACCACAAGGUACUAUAUAACUUGAUACACUUUAAACCGCAUGGUACUAAAGUGAGAAAGUGUGAAACCACAGAGUACUAAGUUGAUACACUUUAAACCACAGGGUACUAAAAUGAGAAACUGCGAAACCACGAGGGGUAUUUGAAGUUUUUACUUUUUCUUAAUCUAAUCUAUUUUUUUUAUUAUAAAAAUUUAAAAUAUAUAAAUUUUUUUACAUGAAUUUUAAAAUCUAGCAUAUAGAAUGAUUUGGAUAGUAAAAAUAAAAUUUUAAAAGAUUGAAUUGAUGGUUCAAAAUGAUUUAUUGUUUAGAAAAAAUUUAUACGAUUUUAUUUUGAUUUUAAUAUCGAACUUUAAUAUUACAUUAUAAUUUGAGAAGCGAUCAAUUUUGAAAGGUUGAAUAGAUAAUUCAAAAUGAUUUAUCGUUUAGAAAAAUUUUAUACGAUUUUAUUUUGAUUUUAAUAUCAAAUUUUAAUAUUACAUUACAAUUUGAUAAGCGAUCAAUUUUUUAUAUCUACAAUUUUUAGAAUAUAUCCAAAAUAUGAUUGGCCGACUUUUAGUUUUAACAAUUAUGCAUUAUAAAAUUUGUUAGAUAGUUGAAUAUAUUUUUUUUGAAUAAAAUUACUAAUUGAACAAAAUCGAUCAAUACGUAACUCUAUCUUCAUUUCGAAUAAUUACAAUUUUGGUCUUCUAAUAAAUGAAGCAGGUAGCUUGCUACCUUUUUUCUUAAAAAAUAAUUACAAUUUUGGUCUUCAAAUUAGUAAGAUCCGUGAUAAUUGUUCUAAAUAUUUUUUAAAAUAAAUAUGGUGAUCAAAUUACUUAUACUUUUGGUCUUCAAAUUAAUAAAGCUUAGUUUAGUAUUGAGACCUAUAUGAUGCUAUUAGGUAAAAUGGAGUUAGGAUAAAAAUAUCUAGAAAUCUACUUUUAUGUUCUCCAAUGGAAUCAAAAAAAUAUAUCGUAACCGACUAAUCGUGAAUAUAUUGAACACAAUAUUACGUACGGAAACAAGCAAGUUAUUUUCUAAUCAUAGUUUCUCACCAUACGUAACACAAUCUCCCCUCAAUCCGGAACAAAGCCUAAGACCCGUGACAAUCAUUCCAAAUAACUUUUUAAACAAAUAUUUUGAUCAAAUUACUUAAUUAAAUAUCAUUAAUGAUCUAUGUUAUGUAUUAAUAAUUUUAAUUAUUUA